UAGUCAAUAUAUUGGGGUUGCCAUCGAA
rnacentral:sRNA from 1 species